CUGGAGUCCCAUGCAGGGUAUGUCCCAGUGUCACAUCCACCUGGCUUUUCCUUUCCUUGCCUGCCUUAGCUCUGGAGUGUUUGAAAUCGCCGAAGCUUCGGGAGUUAGAACCGGGACAAAAAUCAUCAUCCACCUGAAAUCCGACUGCAAGGAGUUUUCCAGCGAGGCCCGGGUGCGAGAUGUGGUAACGAAGUACAGCAACUUCAUCAGCUUCCCCUUGUACUUGAAUGGAAGGCGGAUGAACACCUUGCAGGCCAUCUGGAUGAUGGACCCCAAGGACGUCGGUGAGUGGCAACAUGAGGAGUUCUACCGCUACGUCGCGCAGGCUCACGACAAGCCCCGCUACAUCCUGCACUAUAAGACGGACGCACCACUCAACAUCCGCAGCAUCUUCUAUGUGCCCGACAUGGUG
rnacentral:sRNA from 1 species